UGGGGGAUAUUGCACAAUGGGCGAAAGCCUGAUGCAGCGACGCCGCGUGGGGGAUGAAGGCCUUCGGGUUGUAAACUUCUUUUGCUCUGAACAAGGCGCACCAUGGGGUGUGUUGAGUGUAGGGGUUGAUUAGCGCCGGCUAACUACGUGCCAGCAGCCGCGGUAAUACGUAGGGCGCGAGUGUUGUCCGGAAUUAUUUGGCGUAAAGGGCUUGUAGGUGGCUGGUUGCGUCUGUCGUGAAAGCUCAUGGCUUAACUGUGGGUUUGCGGUGGGUACGGGCUGGCUUGAGUGCAGUAGGGGAGGCUGGAAUUCCUGGUGUAGCGGUGGAAUGCGCAGAUAUCAGGAGGAAUACCGGUGGCGAAGGCGGGUCUCUGGGCUGUUACUGACCCUGAGGAGCGAAAGCAUGGGGGGCGAACAGG
rnacentral:rRNA from 1 species